UACGGGGGGAGCAAGCGUUGUUCGGAUUUACUGGGCGUAAAGGGCGCGUAGGCGGCGUGGUAAGUCACUUGUGAAAUCUCCGGGCUUAACCCGGAAAGGUCAAGUGAUACUGCUGUGCUAGAGUGCGGAAGGGGCAACUGGAAUUCUCGGUGUAGCGGUGAAAUGCGUAGAUAUCGAGAGGAACACCUGCGGCGAAGGCGGGUAGCUGGGCCGACACUGACGCUGAGGCGCGAAAGCCAGGGGAGCGAACGGG
rnacentral:rRNA from 1 species